AAAGAAACAACAAACUGAUAGUUUUUAUUAUCACAAUCACAAAAUACAUAUACUGACACAUUACAGACACAAAUCACUUUUAAUUUAGAUUACAAUCACAACCAUAGGCCUAAUUGUACCACGCUAGUCCUUAUUAUUUUGUAGCAUCUGGCCUCCAAGGCUCCAAUGACUCGCCUGCUUUCAAACUAGAUUCAUAACACAUGGAAUAUGCUUAGACAAUAAGCCCUUCUUAUUGGGUCUUUUGUUGAACGCUAUAUUUCGACUAUUACACUUUCUGAUUCAUGGGCUGGUUUAUCCAUGUGGUGAGGGUAGGAAAACAAUAAAUUUUCUGAUUCAUGGGCUGGUUUAUCCAUGUGGUGGGGGUAGGAAAACGCUAAAUUUUCUGAUUCAUGGGCUGGUUUAUCCAUGUGGUGGGGGUAGGAAAACACUAAAUUUUCUCAUUCAUGGGCUGGUUUAUCCAUGUGGUGGGGGUAGGAAAACACUAAAUUUUCUCAUUCAUGGGCUGGUUUAUCCAUGUGGUGGGGGUAGGAAAAUAACACAUUUUCUGAUUCAUGGACUUUGGUCAAAUGCUUCUCUUCAGCAUUGCUAGCUUUCUUGAUGGAGAAAGGAGAUACUAAAUCACCCUUGUUUAUAAGGCUCUGAAUUGCUUCAGGCAUUGCCUCAGCAUUAGUAACACUUUUCCAGUACGCAUCUGGAUCAGUUCUUGCAUCAACAGUGCUUCCAAUCUGUUUAUUUAAAAAUCCAUAAGUGUAAAAUUAUCAUCAUUUGUAAAACAUAUAUCAUAAAGCAAAAGUAUGUUAUAAAUUUUUAGAACUUACACUUACCAGGAGGAGCGAAAAAAGAGCAAAUAAAGCAAAAUUAGGUGAUUCCAUGCCUUCAAUACUCUCUCAAUAUCCCUUCUGUGUGAUUUGUAUACUCGCCUAUUUAAGUAUUUAUAGAUGGAAGCAAAGCCACCCUAAGGCUAAGCUUGUUCCACGUUGCAGUAUAUUUGUUAGAAUAUAUAUAGGAUCACACACACUAGUCUUUUUAGCGGCUUCCAUAUUAUGAGUCACAAGUUCCCAACAAUAUUAAUAUGUUAUUAUUUCUUAUCAGUGUUGGGUUACUCCUUCAAUUAUAUUCAGAAAAAAUUACUAUUAUGAAAGAAAUAUGUUCUAUUUUUAAUAUAAUAUUUAUUAUAUAUCAGAGUCCUAUUAUGAGAAAAAAAAAUCUUAUUUUCAGUAGGAGUUGAGAGAGUGUGUAAGUGAGUUUUGUGUUUGUGUGAAGGAGAGAGUUUUUUGUAAUUUUUAUAUUUCAUGCAAAAAUGUUGUAUUGUAGGUGGAAGAGUUUUGUAAUUUUUAGUCCGUGCAAAAAGUUAUGUUGUGAUAUUGUCAACUUUUAGUUUUAAGUUGUAAAACUUGAAAGAAUAAUUGUAAACUUGUUAUAUUGAUAUAAUAGAGAUUCAAAAUUUGUCAGUUAAUUUUUCACUUUAAAAAAUUUUCAGGUUAAAUAUUGUGCAUAUUAUCUCUCUUUAUUUUAUCAUAGCAUAGUGACAAGAUCUGUACUUUUUAUUAUGUGAAUUACCUAGCCACGAUAUUUUUAUUUAGUGUCGGUGUGGGAGAACGCUAUAAAAGGCACACUUUUCAUAACCUUUUUGAGGGAGUUUUAAAGUAGACUAAAAAUACUUUUAUAUAUAUAGCGAACCACUUGAUAUUUAUACCGAACCGACGGUUCGAAUCGAUUCGGUUUGUCCAAAAUCAAAAAAACCGGUUUUUUCGUACACCCGUAGAUCCGUCCGCAUUAAAAUAAAGACUUGAUUCCGAAAGCACUUAAUUUGCAGUAUUGACAAAGGCUAAAUACAUUUUCGUUAUAAUCAAAACCUGUUUGAGGGAGUUUUAAUUUGGAAGAGGAGCUCUUUUUAUGAGAAGUGAGAAAAUAUACAAUUUUCUGUUCUUAUUUAUCAACUUUGUAUGUCAACAGAAGGAUUUUUUUUUUUUUUUAUUUUGUCUUAUUUUAUUUUUUUAUGACAUAUGGAUCCAAAGAGACCAAUAUGUGGGUCAAUUUUUGCCGAAAAAUAAUUUUGGGAUCGACAUUGUAUGCAAUUCGAUAGUUGAUAUAACAGAUGUGUAAGUCCAAUUACUUUAGGAACUAAAUUAAUUAGGGUCUUUUACACUAAUAUACAACAAUUAGAAAGUAAUUACAAAAAUAAAACAUACACAACAUAAUUACAAAAAUGAAACAUACACAACAUAAUUACAAAAUUACGUGCUAAAAUCACGUGUCAUUAACUCCUACACAUCGGUUACCAAAUUUCAUAUUUGAAAUUAACCGUUCCUAAAAUCAUGCAAUUUUGAAAUCGGAACAACAGAUCAACGACGGAAAAGACAAACAAGACGAAGCUGAAGCCUCCAGUCGCGAGUAAACUCUUAAUCGGAGAAGACGAAGCCGGUUGUCACGGCACAUCUCUAAGAUCGAAAAUAGCCUCCAAAAUCAACAACGCCUUCUAGUUCAGUAACCAAAUACUGCAUUAAUUAAUUAAUACAAGAUCAACAUCAAUUUCAAUACAACAAUACUGAGGUAUGUUAUUUUAAAAUUUACAAUCAUAUAUUUACCUAUUGUUACAAAUGAAUUAAUGUUUUGGUUACCUUUCUUAGGUUUUUUGCACUUAAAAUGAUCACACAGUAAUAAUAAUGAAUGUUUUGAUUGCAAGAUGAAUUUGAAAAAUUGGUUACUGCUUUCUACAUUGGUUACUGCUUAACAUUACAUUGGUUAUUGGUUAUGCUGUAUUGGUUACUGCUUAACAUUACAUUGGUUACUGUCUGAUAAUGACUUGGUUACUGUGUGUUGCUGCAUUGGUUACUGAUUAAUAAUGCUUUUGUUACUGUGUAAUAUUAUAAUGGUUGCUUAUGAAGACUUGGUUACUGACAUUGGCUAAAUUGGUUACCGUCUAACAUUGAACUAGUUAUUUGGUUACUUAACUAUUUAUUUGGUUACUUAACAUUACAUUGGUUAUUGAUUAUGCUGUAUUGGUUACUGCUUAACAUUACAUUGGUUACUGUCUAACUAUGUCUAUGUUACUGUUUAAUGCUGACUUGGUUAAUGCAUAAUGGUACUAACUAAUGUUGCAUUGGUUACUAACUGAUAAUGACUUAAUUACUGUGUGUUGCUGCAUUGGUUACUGACUAAUAAUGAUUUUGUUACUGUGUAAUAUUAUAAUGGUUGCUUAUGAAGACUUGGUUACUGACAUUGGAUAUAUUGGUUACCGGCUAACAUUGAACUAGUUAUUUGGUUACUUAACUAGUUAUUUGGUUACUUAACAUUACAUUGGUUAUUGAUUAUGUUGUAUUGGUUACUGCUUAACAUUACAUUGGUUACUGUCUGACUAUGUCUAUGUUACUGUUUAAUGCUGGAUUGGUUAAUGCAUAAUGGUACUAACUAAUGUUGCAUUGGUUACUGACUAAUAAUGAUUUGGUUACUGUGUACCAUUACAUUGAUUAUUGACUAAUAAUGAUUUGGUUACUGACUAAUAAUGACUUUGUUAAUGUGUAACAUUAUAAUGGUUACUAAUGAAGACUUGGUUACUGACUAAUGCUGACUUAAUUACUGCUUAACAUUACAUUGCUUAAUGUCUGACUAUGUCUAUGUUACUGACUAAUACUGAUUUGGUUACUGUGUACCACUGCAUUGUUUACUGACUAAUAAUGACUUUGUUACUGUGUAACAUUAUAAUGUUUACUGAUGAAGACUUGGUUACUGACUAAUAAUGACUUGGUUACUGUUUAACAUUAUAUUGGUUACAGGCUAACAUAGGUUAUUGACUAAUAAUUAAUUGGCUACUGUGUACCAUUGCAUUGGUUACUGACUAAUAAUGACUUUGUUACUGUGUAACAUUAUAAUGGUUACUAAUGAAGACUUGGUUAUUGACUAAUGCUGACUUAAUUACUGCUUAACAUUACAUUGGUUACUGUCUGACUAUGUAUAUGUUACUGUGUUCCAUUGCAUUGGUUACUAACUAAAAAUUACUUUGUUACUGUGUAACAUUAUAAUGGUUACUGAUGAAGACUUGGUUACUGACUAAUGCUGACUUGGUUACUGUUUAACAUUAUAUUGGUUACCGGAUAACAUUGAUUUUGUUACUUACCAUUACUUAUUCUGUUGACAGACAAUGGAGAUGAUUCCAGUUGUACUUUAUUUCAACGGCACAUGGGCUGAUAGUAACCAGUACACCAAAUUUGAAGUUACUGGCAUAUUAGUUCCAUCAACAAUUUCGUUCAAAGAAAUGCUAACUAAAAUAUGCAGUGCAUUACGGCUAGACACAAACGCAACAACAUUGUCGAUCAAAUUUCAGAUUAGAAGCGACAUUCCACCUAUCAUUAUAUCAGAUGAAUCAACCUUACAAUUCUUUCUGGAAAUGAGUAGGAAAUCUGGUGAACAAGGUAAAUUCCCACUGAUUGUGGAUAUUGAACACAUAAUGGGACGCACAAAAAUCUUGCAUAACUUGACAAAUGUAGAAGAAUCUACAAUUCACGAUGUAAUGCCAAUCAGAUCAACACAAAGGAAUUCAGCACUAGUUCCACUAGCAAGACAAGAAUGCUAAUUUGGAACGCAAUAUGCUGAUCAGCUUGCAAUGGAAAUUAUUGAACAACAACGAGACAUACAACAUGACAAAUCAUACGCGGAAGAAGGAUAUGAUGAUGUAAUAUCGGAUUCGAAUGAACGUGAUGUAAAAUUACAUCAAACCUAGAAAGACAAAAAAAUCCUAUCACAAGCUAUGAGGCUGCAUUCGAUCAGAAAAAACAGACAACACAAAGUCCAACGAACAAGUUAUAGAGACUUUGUGUUAGUGUGCGUAUACGAUGAAAAUUGCAAAUGGAAGAUGAGAGCAUCAAGUUUCUGAAAAACUAGUAUGUUCAAGGUGAGAGAAUUCAACGACAUCCACACUUGUUCGGUCAAUGUAUUGUUGGGAGACCACAGACAGGCAAAUAGUGAGUUGGUCAGUGAAUGCAUAAUGCAAAAAAUAAUAAAUUUGAAGAAAAUAUACACACCAACCGAUGUUGUGGAAGACAUGAUGUCAGAAUAUAAUGUGUCUAUCUCUUACCAAAAAGCAUGGAGAUCGAAGGAGAAAGCGUUGGAAAAGGUGAGAGGAAAUCCACACGACUACUCACUCAUCCCAUCAUGGUUACACAUGUUGAAGAAAACAAAUCCAGGUAAGACUUUAAAACAUUUUAUUGGUUUUACAUCAUUAGACAGUAACCAAUAUGAUGUUACACAGUAACCAAUACAUCAUUACAUAUUAGAAGGUUACCAUUGUAAAAUUUGGUUACUGCUUAAUGUUGUCUUGGUUAGCUUCAUGAAACAUGUUGUUACUGUCUAAUGCAUUGGUUACUAAGCAUGUGGUUACUGUCUAAUGCUAUAUUGAUUACUGUCUAAUGCACUGGUUACUAAGCAUGUGGUUACAAAAAUAGCAUUAUUCAGUAACCAAUUAAGUAUUAUACAGUAACCAAUAUAGCAUUAUACAGUAACCAAUACACCUUUUGACAUUAUAUGUGUUAGUAUGUAUAUUUAAUUACUAAACCUUUAUACAAUUUGUAUACGGUUAUUAUACAUGUUUGGUUACCUUAAUAUGCGUGUUUAGUUACUAAAUGUAGUAUACAAGUUGUAUACCAUUAACUACAUGAACGGUUACCGAUAACUAGUAAUUUGGAUACUGUAUACUACUUGUAAUUCUAAUGAUAAUGAUGAUUUUCAUAUCAGGUUCCGUCACAGCCCUUGAGUUGGAAACAAAUGGCCGUUUCAAGUAUCUAUUCUUUGCCAUUGGAGCGUCCAUUCAAGCAUGGCACCAUUAUUUUCCAAUCAUUGUAAUCGAUGGCACAUUCAUACAAUCAACUUACGGGGGGACACUACUGAUAGCAAGCACACAAGAUGCAAACCGAAACAUUAUUCCGAUUGCUUUUUCAGUUGUUGACAGCGAAAAUGAAAUGUAUUGGAGAUGGUUUUUCGUAAAUUUGAGAAUUGCUUGUGGAGUUAGGGAAGGUCAAUGUAUUGUUUCAAACAGGCAUGAAGCCAUUAUACAAGGACUAAAUUUUGUGUUUCUGGAUAUCAUGCAUGGUUCCUGCACAUAUCAUAUACUGAAAAAUAUAAAAACAAAUUCAAAAAGAAAGGAGAAGAAGUUAAACAGGCUUACAACGGGGCUUGUAGAGCUUACACUGUUGAACAAUUCAACAAACACAUGGCUGAACUUGAUGCCAUUGAUCCUCGAAUAAGGACAUAUCUGGAGGAAGAGGUCAGAUUGGAUAAGUGUACCAGGCUCCAUGGGACUGUAAGUAGGUACUCAACAAUGACUUCAAACACAGCCGAAUCUAUUAACAAUGCAAUCAAGUUUAUCAGGGAUCUUCCAGUUGCGUCAAUGAUUGAAUGCCUACGUUGUCUGGUUCAGAGAUGGUAUUUCACAAACAAACAAGCAGCCAUAUCAACAUUCACAACUCUUUCUACAACGGCUGAGAGAAGGUUACAAUCUAAUAUCUUUAAAUCAAAGAUACUUAAGGUAAUUAAUACUUGAUUUAAAUUAUUGCAUCCUAAUUUACAUUUGCAACUUACUGAUUAUUAUUAACUUGGUUACUUAAUAAUGUUAAAUUAGUUACUGUGCAACAUUUUAUUGGUUACUGACUAUUGCUGGCUUGGUUACUGUGUAACCAUAUAAUGGUUAUUGUGUAAAAUUAUACUAACUAACAGUAACUUGAAUAAUAUUACUGACUAAUACUGACUUGGUUACAGACUAAUGCUAACUUACUUAAUGUGCAACAUUAUAUUGGUUACUGACUACUACUGAAUUGCUUACUAUCUAAUUAUAUAAUGGUUACUAUAUAAUGCUUAGUUGGUUACUGUGUAACAUCAUACUGGUUACUAAUUAAUACUGACUUAGUUAAUAUGUAACAUUAUAAUGUUACUGAGAUUUAUAAUUGUUUCUUGUAUAUUGGUGGUUACUUAUUAACUAACAUUCUGGUACUAGUUAAUUGGUUACUGUAUAUUUGGCAUGCAACUAUUAAUCUGAUUGUAUGCAUUGGGUGUUGUAGGUUGAGACAUCAAACUUAGUGAUUUUCACUGUUUACGAUGUCUCUAAACAGUAUAUUGUGGACAUCGAACAAAAGACAUGCACAUGCCGUAAAUUUUAGUACCAUGAGAUGCCUUGUCCGCACGCUGCUGCUGUUAUAAGCAAGAGAAAUUUGACCUGUUAUGAUUUUUGCUCAAAAAAUUACACUAAAGCAACUUUGGUCGAGACAUAUUCAGCUUCCAUCAUGCCAUUAGAUGACAAAGAAAACUGGGAUGUAUCAGAAGAAGUAAGAAACAUAUGUAUAAAACCACCCAACACAAGAAGACCAGCAGGAAGACCAAAAAAAGGGAGGUACAAACACGGAUCUGAAAUCAAAAUUCAAAACAAAUGCAGCAGGUGCCAAGAAAAAGGACACAACAGAAAAACAUGCAGUAAUCCCCCGGUUUUAAGACCACUAAAAAGGGUCUGAUAUAGUGCAGUUAAAUUAAGAGUGUAGAUACAUGAAUGUAUUAUUGUUUACUUUGAGUAACCAUUAAACGAUUGGUUUGUAAAAUUUUUGAUUGUGUAUAGUAAACAAAAUUGUUAUUCAUUUAUAUAUUGAUUUCUGAUUUCAAUGAAACAUUGACAAUAACAGUAAUCAAAUAAAUACAUAACAGUAACCAUAACAGUUUUUAAUGGUAACAACAUAUUUACAUAACAGUAACCAUAACAGUUACCAGCUAAUAACAUAACAGUAACCAUACCAGUUUUUAACAAAAUAAUUACAUAACAGUAACCAUAACAAUGUUUAAUGAUUUCCAAAUAAUUACAUAACAGUAACCAUCACAGUAACCACCUAAUUUCAUAACAGUAACAAUACCAUUUUAUAAUGGUAACCACAACAUAAACAACCUGUAUAUCCAGCAACAUAUAAUUAAAAGGGUAUUGAAGUUUAUGAAACCCAUGUAUACUCACACAUGUCCACUUAACAUAUGACAUAUGUCCUGAUACAAUAUUGUAACUCUCUGGUUACUAUCAAAUCAUUAUCUGGUUACCUAUUUAUACAUGAUUGGUUACCAACUGUAUAUUAUAAAAUUAUAAUUGGUUACCAUUUUAUACAUGACAGUAACCAUAACAGUAACCAUGCCAGUUUUUAAUGUAAACCAAAUAAUUACAUAACAGUAACCAUAACAAUGUUUAAUGGUACCCAAAUAAUCUCUCUGGUUACUAUCAAAUCAUUAUCUGGUUACCUAUUUAUACCUGAUUGGUUACCAACUGUAUAUUACAAAAUUAUAAUUGGUUACCAUUUUAUACAUGACAGUAACCAUAACAGUAACUAUGCCAGUUUUUAAUGUAAACCAAAUAAUUACAUAACAGUAACCAUAACAAUGUUUAAUGGUACCCAAAUAAUUACAUAACAGUAACCAUCACAAUAACCACCUAAUUUCAUAACAGUAACCAAACCAGUUUAUAAUGGUAACCACAACAUAAACAACCUGUAUAUUCAGCAACCUGUAAUUAAAAGGGUAUUGAAGUUUAUGAAACCCAUGUAUACAUAACACAUGUACACUUAACAUAUGAUAUAUGUCCUGAUACAAUCUUGUAACUCUGGUUACUAUCAAAUCAUUAUCUGAUUACCCCUUUAUACAUGAUUGGUUACCAACUGUAUAUUUCAAAAAAAUUCAACAAACACAACUUAAAAAGAAACAAAAUACCAACCAACAAACAAUAUCUCUUUCAUUAAUGCUAAUAUAAUCAAAUAUAUAAUCCCAUCUACAUAAGAUCCAGUGAACAUCAAAAAAUCAUAAACCAUACACAAAUGUUGUGUAUAACACCAAAACUUAAAAAAAAAUACACAACAAAAUUAAUAAAAACAAAACAAUAAAAUCCGAACUAAUCAAAAUCUGGAACAAAUCUUCCUGGAAAUUCUCUAUCAGUAUCAUAGCCCUCCAACUGCUUGUUCCUAGCAUGCAUAAAUAGGUUUGUGCAUAACUUUUUCCGAUACUUCGCAAUGGGGAAAGGAAUAGGAAUCUGAUCAAACUUCUGAUGAAUGACAUGCUCAGCAAAACAAAUUGUGAACAUCCCACAAUCACUGUAACAACAAACAACAUAUAACAAAAAUCAAAAAUAAAAUCAACCUAUAUGUAAUAAUUAAAAAAAUGUACACAAUUUAACCCUUACCCCUCUACUUGUUCAGGAACCGUCUCAGCAAAUUCCAACUCAAUUAUAUCGUCUUCGUCCUUGUUGUGAUACGGGUCACUGCUGAAGUCAAUGUCAAACCUAUCCUUCCAAAAACCAGACUUGCGCAGUAGUAUGGGAAGAAUGAAGAUGUACGGCUCACAAACAUCAGAUAUUUUAGUUUUCAUGGAUUUCCUUUUUGGUUGUAGAGAAUUGUAAACAGUUAGACACCUACGAUGCACAUCAAAAGUCAACAACAACCAAUGGUCCGGUGAUGACAUAUGAAUUGGGAACAACACAUAGUGAACAUUCCUCCAUGGUGUGUUCACAUCCAUAAACAGCCCAUGUAUGUAUUCAGCAACAUCACCCUCCCCAGACAGAACAAUUUUGUCACAAUUUUUUUUUGUAUACUCCUCGAAAAGAGCGGUGAUCUUGCUGUGAAACCAACAAUCCGUGGUCGUUACCCUUAUAAGAACACUUUCGGAAUGUCUUUCCAUUUUACAAAAAUAAUACAACGCAACAUUGAUGUGCUGAGCCAAAAAAAAAAUUAAUAGGAUAUUAACAGUUGUUGGAAAAUGCAAGUAUGUGAUGAAUGUAACUAAAUAAUGUAAACAUAACUAUAAAAACAUAAUUUUAAAACAAAUACUCACAUCGUCGUCUAACCACUGCCCAGGCGUCUUUAAUUUAUAGAACCACAUCUUCGAUGAUAUUGCAAUGGAUCCAAAUACAAAAGAAGGCAUGAUAAUAUCGUUCUUUCCAGGAAAUUUAUCCGUCCUUCAAUAUAAAAACAUAAUAUUAGUAUACACACUAACAUUAACAAUUACCGUAUUAAUAUACACACUACUACAAAUCAAACUUGCACGUUCUAUAAUUAACAUACUAAUCAACCAACUUAAUUUUAAACAGUACCCUGCUAACCAACAAAUAUUAAAAUCAUAACCAUAAUCAAAUAGUAACUAAUACAUAACUAAUAGGUAACCAAAACAUAAACUAAUAUUAACCAGAAUAUAAAGUAAUAGUAACCAUAACAUUUAUUUAAUAGUAACCACACCAUUUAUUUAAUAUUAACAUUUAUUUAAUAUUUAAUAUUAUGUAGUAACCAAAACAGCAUCAGUCAGUAACCAAUUAAGCAUUAUACAGUAACCAAUGUAAUGUUACACAGUAACCAAUACAACAUUCGACAGUAACCAAUACAUCAUUAGACAGUAACCAAAACAGCAUACCAAAAUCAGUAAACUAAUCAACAACUUAAUUUUAAACAUUAAUCUGGUAACCAAACCAUAAUCACAUAGUAACCGAAACAUAACUACUAGGAAACCAAAACAUAAUCUAAUAGUAACCAGAAUAUAAAAUAAUAGUAACCAUAACAUUUAUUUAAUAUUAACCAUAUGUUACUACAAUAAUCCAAACUUAUUUGUUUCAUAAAAAACUAUAGCAUUGUUAACAACAAAAAACAAACCUUUUUCUGUUGUUUAUUUCAAUUUUGAACUAUUCUUCAAACAAUGCCUCUUCAAAUUUUUAGGGCAUCUCCAUGCAUGAUUUGGGGAAUGCACUUAAACGUGCAAGUGUUUGACUAGCAGCACCCACUACAGUAGAUGAUGAACCAGCCGAUCCGAACGCUGCUGUAUAUGGAGACCGUAAAAUGGCACUCUUUGCAGGUUCACGUACAGGUCUACCACCGGCUUUGUGGACACUCUUCUCCAACUCAUCACACUUAGCUAUGUCCUGUGUGGUGAGAACCAUAAAAUCAAGAGCAUACCUGCUUGCUGCCUCACCUUUCUUCCCCUUUUUCAGUUGACAUAAAAAGGUAAUAUAUACGAUUAGUAACCUGAAUAACAUAAACUAGUAACCAACUGACUGUACAACAACCAACAAACUAAAAUGAAAAUGUUAUAUUAGUAAUCUAAAUAACAUAAACUAGUAACCAAAUCAUAAUAUAAUAGUAGCCAAAUCACAAUAUAAUGGUAACCAAAACACAAUAUCAUAGUAACCAAUUCACUAUAUAAUGGUAACCAAAACAUAAAUAACAUUUAAAUAAAUGAUGGUACAUAAUUAUAACACUAACCUUAUCAACAUCAUACACAACAAUCUCUUUCCCAGUACAUUGGCUUAAUAUGUCAAAAGACGGCAUGUCAUUAUUAUUGUCAAUCUGCGCAAAAUAAAGAACCAUUUAAUAAUUAAAACAAAAGACAUAUAUCACAUAACAAAACAAACAAAUAUGUCUAACCUUGACAUCUUCUUCAUCAUCAUUAUUUUUUUUUUCAUCGGGUUCUUCAACCAUAGCAGCACGUUCAACUUCAUUAGAAAUCUCAAUUACAUUCACAUCAUUCUUCUCCACGAAUAUUGACACAUCAUCACCAACUUCAUUAUCCAAUUCAAUUUCAUUCCCACCCUUCUUCUCAACUUCAUCUAACACAUCAUCACCAUCAUUAUUCUUAUUCACUUUUGAA
rnacentral:lncRNA from 1 species